rnacentral:lncRNA from 1 species
UAAGAAAUUUUAUUUGAAAUCCCAGCUUUUUUUCUACCGUUCAUUCCAAAUGAUUCCUUAGACUGAUUGCCGCUUGCUUCUACAUUGUCAGUGUGAUUGAUAUCACUCGGUUCCAUAGAAGCCGAGCAUAGGAACUCUAGAUUUCUCAGGCGAGUGAGUCGAAGUAGGAGAAGCACCAAGACCGAGCAGAUCUGAAGGCGGCAACACCGGUGGUGAAGCCAUUGGUGAAUUUGUGGGAGGAGGGAGAUCCAUGUCCGGUGAAGGAGAAGCAGCAGAAAGCAAUAGUGAACCGAUAGGUAAUUGAGGAGACGAACUCGAGGACAAAUUUGAUUCCAAUGGUGGUGUUGCAGAGAGGGCAACUUGUAGAGAAAAGAA